UACGGAGGAUGCGAGCGUUAUCCGGAUUUAUUGGGUUUAAAGGGUGCGUAGGCGGGAUGCCAAGUCAGCGGUAAAGAUGCGGUGCUCAACGCCGUCGAGCCGUUGAAACUGGCGUUCUUGAGUGGGCGAGAAGUAUGCGGAAUGCGUGGUGUAGCGGUGAAAUGCAUAGAUAUCACGCAGAACUCCGAUUGCGAAGGCAGCAUACCGGCGCCCUACUGACGCUGAGGCACGAAAGCGUGGGUAUCGAACAGG
rnacentral:rRNA from 1 species